GAUGAACGCUGGCGGCGUGCCUAAUACAUGCAAGUCGAGCGAACAGACGCGGAGCUUGCUCCUCUGACGUUAGCGGCGGACGGGUGAGUAACACGUGGAUAACCUACCUAUAAGACUGGGAUAACUUCGGGAAACCGGAGCUAAUACCGGAUAAUAUAUUGAACCGCAUGGUUCAAUAGUGAAAGACGGUUUUGCUGUCACUUAUAGAUGGAUCCGCGCCGCAUUAGCUAGUUGGUAAGGUAACGGCUUACCAAGGCAACGAUGCGUAGCCGACCUGAUAGGGUGAUCGGCCACACUGGAACUGAGACACGGUCCAGAGUCCUACGGGAGGCAGCAGUAGGGAAUCUGCCGCAAUGGGCGAAAGCCUGACGGAGCGACGCCGCGUGAGUGAUGAAGGUCUUCGGAUCGUAAAACUCUGUUAUUAGGGAAGAACAAAUGUGUAAGUAACUAUGCACGUCUUGACGGUACCUAAUCAGAAAGCCACGGCUAACUACGUG
rnacentral:rRNA from 1 species